GUGUCAGCCGCCGCGGUAAUACGUAGGUGGCUAGCGUUGUCCGGAAUCACUGGGCGUAAAGAGCGCGUAGGCGGCCAGUCAGGUCCGAUGUGAAAACCCGGGGCUCAACUCCGGGCCUGCAUUGGAAACCGGCUGGCUAGAGUCUGGGAGAGGAGAGUGGAAUUCCUGGUGUAGCGGUGAAAUGCGUAGAUAUCAGGAGGAACACCGGUAGCGAAGGCGGCUCUCUGGAACAGUACUGACGCUGAGGCGCGAAAGCUAGGGGAGCGAACAGGAUUAGAUACCCUGGUAGUCCUAGCCCUAAACGAUGGACACUAGGUGUCGGGGGUGUCGACUCCCCCGGUGCCGUAGCUAACGCAUUAAGUGUCCCGCCUGGGGACUACGGCCGCAAGGUUAAAACUCAAAUGAAUUGACGGGG
rnacentral:rRNA from 1 species